rnacentral:rRNA from 1 species
UACGUAGGGGGCAAGCGUUGUCCGGAAUUAUUGGGCGUAAAGAGCGUGUAGGCGGCCAGAUAAGUCCGCUGUGAAAUCUCGAGGCUCAACUUCGAGCUGUCGGUGGAAACUAUCUGGCUAGAGUCCGGAAGAGGAGAAUGGAAUUCCUGGUGUAGCGGUGAAAUGCGCAGAUAUCAGGAGGAACACCCGUGGCGAAAGCGGCUCUCUGGGACGGUACUGACGCUGAGACGCGAAAGCGUGGGGAGCAAACAGG